AUGUGGUUUAAUUCGAAGCAACGCGAAGAACCUUACCAGGCCUUGACAUGCAGAGAACUUUCCAGAGAUGGAUUGGUGCCUUCGGGAACUCUGACACAGGUGCUGCCUGGCUGUCGUCAGCUCGUGUCGUGGGAUGUUGGGUUAAGUCCCGUAACGAGCGCAACCCUUGUCCUUAGUUACCAGCACGUUAUGGUGGGCACUCUAAGGAGACUGCCGGUGGACAAACCGGAGGAAGGUGGGGAUGACGUCAAGUCAUCAUGGCCCUUACGGCCUGGGCUACACACGUGCUACAAUGGUCGGUACAAAGGGUUGCCAAGCCGCGAGGUGGAGCUAAUCCCAUAAAACCGAUCGUAGUCCGGAUCGCAGUCUGCAACUCGACUGCGUGAAGUCGGAAUCGCUAGUAAUCGUGAAUCAGAAUGUCACGGUGAAUACGUUCCCGGGCCUU
rnacentral:rRNA from 1 species